AUUUUCUAACGGGAAGCUAGCCAAAUACAUAGAGUUGAAAAGACAUAGAGUAGCCAACGUACGCUAUGUGAUCCUAACGCUGCGCGUGCGAUUGGAACCGGAAAUCCUGUGUUCGGCAAGCUGGCGGGCCUACGGAUAUUGUUCUGUAUUAGAAGCUGGUGCCAACCUAGCCUAUAGCAAGGAAUUAUGGGAGUUGUAGUGUCUCAUUAACUAGGCGCAUAUGUUCGCCAGUCAUACUCUUCCCGCUUGCAUGCUGGAGAAUUUCCGUUUUGUGCUAUUCCCUCCUCCCUCUCGAGACUUUGUGGGCGGUCUGUCUGGGGGAUUCUAUCUGAACCACCAUUUUCUUUUUCUUUUCUUUUUCACGUGGCUUUCUUGUGUGCACGACCGUUGUCGGUACCUGUUGCUGGUAGUCGGAUUUUCAGAAGAGGAAGAGUGGUAGACUCUACAUCGGCCGUAACGAUGGUUGGCAAAAGGCGUGCGUUUUUGAUUUCUGGGUAAGAGGAAUGGGAAUUACUUAACCCAUAGCUUAAGGACAUUAGUCAGAAUCGCAGGUUUAGGACCAGACUUGCAAACAGAGCAAAGGUUACGACUUUUUAGGUGCAUCAGUGCUGCUAAAACUUUUGCGUGUGAGUUAAUCUGAUACGUAUAGAAAUAGCGUGGUCUGAAUGAUCGGUUGCUACAACCUAUCGCAGGUGAGGACUGUUGUUCAUACUCCAGUGGCAAGCUUUCUCGAAGCUUUAGCUUGGUCGUGACUUAAGACAAAGUGCUAGACCAAAUUGUCUUGUUUACACAAUCAAAUACACAUUUCUGCUUUCUCUUUUUAUGGUUACUAGUGGCAUGCAUGCAGUGUAGAUCACUUUGUUUAAAAAUGCAGGUGGGAAGAUAAAUGCCCUGCUGGAUUGGCAUAUAAUCCAUCAGCCUGUUCUCAUAGUGGCUGAGUCACUAUGUAUAAAGAAGUUCAUGUGUACAUUCUCUAAAAAACUGGUCUUUAGAAGUGUCUUCUAUAUCACCUUCUGAGAUUAUCAUAAGGAGUAGUAGCCAUUUAUAAUUCUGUGUCCACGUACUUGUCCAAAUGUUUUUGUAGCUGUCCAAGCUGGUGGUUAACACCACAUCUCAUGGUAGCAGAUUCUCUAGUUUAGUUGUGCAUUGUAUGAAGAAACUUUUCCUUUUUGCAUAUCCUGAUUUUUCCAAGAUUCAGCUUUUUUGGUUUCGUCAGUUGUAGUAUUGGAAAAUAAAUACCUUUUCCUUAUCUGCUAUUUCUACA
rnacentral:lncRNA from 1 species